GAAUCCAAUCCGUGUUGAAUUCAAUCGAAAUGUUGUAAAUGAUAGUAAUGAAAAGAAGUACUUUAAAAAGACUUAGUAAAACAAGACUUAAAUUGCAAAAGUGUUUAAAAGAUUGUAUUGAAUUUGUAAAGACUUAAUGAAAGUUGGUACACAUAUUCAUACUUUGCAACUUGUAACUCGUUUGUCGCUUCCAUACGGACAGUAUUGAGUGUAAGUUUUAGUAUGAUUGAAUUGUGACCCUUUUUUCCUAAGAAAAACUACUAUUUAUACAGAUAGCCCUAUAACUACCUAAUCAUAUCCUUUCGAUUCAAAAUCGAAACUAGCCGUUCAUAAAACUAGCCGUUUGCAAACCGCUUGGUCUUAUCCACAAGACCUGAGUGCGUCGAUGACUUCUUUUAUCCG
rnacentral:lncRNA from 1 species